UACGUAGGGCGCAAGCGUUGUCCGGAAUUAUUGGGCGUAAAGGGCCAGUAGGCGGCCAACUAAGUCCGACGUGAAAUCCCAAGGCUUAACCUUGGAACUGCGUCGGAUACUGGAUGGCUUGAAUUCGGGAGAGGGAUGCAGAAUUCCAGGUGUAGCGGUGAGAUGCGUAGAUAUCUGGAGGAAUACCGGUGGCGAAGGCGGCAUCCUGGACCGACAUUGACGCUGAACGGCGAAAGCUAGGGGAGCAAACGGG
rnacentral:rRNA from 1 species